CUCAGCAAAGUGGCCUUUCUCAACCAUCCGGUCAGCCUCAUCAAUCACCAGGCACCUGCAGAUCCAGACAGCCCCACAUUCGCUGGUUAAUAGCAGCUCCAGAAAAACUGAGCAAUGCUGCACCACAACUGGGAAUAAUGUUACCUGUGGCUGUGACACACCUCCCCUGGGAAGCCUGCCCAUGCCCCUCAAUUAGAAUUCAUCUGAAUCUCCGCCAGUGCCUGGUAUUCUCUCCUCCCUCGUGGAGGACUUCUCAGGGUGUCCAGUGUGAAAGAAACACACAGAAGCAUGCAGUCAAAGCGCUCGGCAAAGUACCUCACACGCAGUGAGAGUUGGACAACUGAGAAAGUAGCAUUCAAUUUUCUGUGGAGCGUAAUUCUCUGGCAGACGAGAAGUUUCCCUAGAGGGCAAUAGCCACAGCUCGCUCACCUCUGCCACGCCAGCACCUAGGACCCUCUCAGGAAAUACUACAUGGAACU